ensembl:lncRNA
CUUUGGCAAGUUUGGGACAGGCGUAUAUUUAACGGUCUGUCAGCUGUUGUUUCAUUUUCCAUUACCAGACAAUGAGGGAUUCUUGGGAAAGGGUCAUGUAAGGGGUUUUCCACGAGAAAGUAUAUGAGGCCAGGUGUCGGGGCAUAGAGGAGAUGCGUCAGCUCUGACUAUAUCUGUCACGGCUAUUGGGUCAGGAUUACGACAGUCUGCUGCUGCUCUGUGUGUGUGUGGCUGCUCUGUGUGUGUGUGUGUGUGUGUGUGUGUGUGUAGGGGAUCUGGGCUGUUUUAGGAACUUGGGAGGCCAAUGAACGACCACAGGUGCUCCUCAGUCCAUGCAGGAAUGCAGUUCCCUCAGUCUGAAGAUUGAAUCUGUCCUGUUUGCCCUCAUGGGGGUGUCAAAGAAGAGAAUAUGAGUAUUCAAGGUCUGACCGACCUCAUCCAUCAAGACCAACAAGAUCAGUACUGGAGAGGCUGGAGAGGGGAAGCAGAUUCCUGCCCUGCAGUUCACCCUCAACUGCUGCUUUACUCUGCCAAGUCACUGCAGCUUCCACAAGCGCUGGUGUCACAUGGGAUGCAAACACGUCCAGAUGUCCUGGACUGAGUCUAACUUGGUUUAUAAAUCUUAGCAACAUCCAGUCAGCCUUGUGUUUCUCAGUUUGUUUUGUCACUGUCAAAGGACUAGUUUACACAAAAAGUCAUGCCAUUAUAUAUGUUUUUUUGUUUUGUUUUGUUUGUUUGUUUGUUUUAAUACUUAAAGGAUUGAGAAUGACAUUUAGUAUCAUUUGUGUCCAUUGAAUUAUCAAGGUCAUAAAGUUUGGAUGGACAUGAGGGUGAAUAAAUGAUGACAGAUUUGUCAAUUGUAAGUGAACUGUCUAUUUAAAGUUCCUGGAUGUUUGUCUUGUUAGUAUGUUUUUACUUCAUAUUGAGUGAUUCCCUCUCUUCUCCUCAUUCUUGUGAUCUUUCGUCACUGGAUUAUGUCAGAUGGGUGUGACGCUGUGUGUUUGGACGCUGUGUUGUACUCUACAGCUUGUGAGGGAUGCUGAUUCGUUUAGCAGGAUGUUCAGUUCCUGUGGGUGUGUGUCUGUUUCCAGCUGGCCCACGCUGACCCACACCUCUCAGUUUCCCAGCACUGAGUCCAGGCUCCGUCCACAGCUGCAUACUGCAAAUCAAUGGUCGCUUAGCAUUUCAUCACUUGAUUUGUGCUGUAGAAAAUCCCCGGGAGACCCGACAACAAACUGUGUACACUACAGGCAAAAGUUUAAGCAACAUUAUUUGUUAGAAAU